UUUUCAGAUCCUGAUUACACAUGGUUUCAGCUUAUGUUUCUUGUACCUCAGCAGCAGCUUUUCUCGUGCUCUUGGAAAAGCAAAUUGAGGAUAAUUGGCUUAGUUCUGUGUCCACUAGUCGUCCAUCCCUUUGGAACUAAAAAUGUUGCUUCUGACUGUAAGGCUCAGUAAGAGCUUUUCAGAGGUCCACACCAUCAUCUGCAUGAACCCCAGGAGAAGAAGGUGCAGGACCCUCCUUUCAGCUGUGGUGCAGGAGGCGAGAUUCCAAGUGACUCCACUCUGCAGUGCAGUCCCAGCUCCCAGAAAGCUGUCUUAUGUUGAUUCCCACUGCUCUGCAUGACUGACUCUGUUACAUUCCUUUCUCUCAGAAAGAUACUUAACAGAUCAAAUGUGUUAAGACUGCAAUAAUGUUGCUCUUUGCUUCUAUAGCCUGCUGCCACAGCCUUAUCACUGG
rnacentral:lncRNA from 1 species